UACGAAGGGUGCAAGCGUUAAUCGGAAUUACUGGGCGUAAAGCGUGCGUAGGCGGUUUGUUAAGUCUGUUGUGAAAUCCCCCGGGCUCAACCUGGGAAUGGCAAUGGAUACUGGCAAGCUAGAGUGUGUCAGAGGAUGGUGGAAUUCCCGGUGUAGCGGUGAAAUGCGUAGAGAUCGGGAGGAACAUCAGUGGCGAAGGGCGGCCAUCUGGGGACCAACACUGACGCUGAGGCACGAAAGCGUGGGGAGCAAACAGGG
rnacentral:rRNA from 1 species